AUAGCGUAUAUUAAAGUUGUUGCAGUUAAAAAGCUCGUAGUUGGAUCUCGGGUACUAGCAUGUGGUACGCUUAACUGCUGUUACUGCAUGUCUAGUCCUAAUCAAUCGGUUGGCCGUUUAUGCCCUUUACUGGGUGUUUUCGGUAGCCGGUACGUUUACUUUGAGAAAAUUAGAGUGCUUAAAGCAGGCUUUACGCCUGAAUAAUGUUGCAUGGAAUAAUAGAAUAGGACCUCGGUUCUAUUUUGUUGGUUUUGUAGAGCAUUGAGGUAAUGAUUAAUAGGGACAGACGGGGGCAUUCGUAUUGCGGUGUUAGAGGUGAAAUUCUUGGAUCGCCGCAAGACGAACAACUG
rnacentral:rRNA from 1 species